CAGGUAGGUUGUUUUAUUUGUCUGGGGUGAAAUCCUUGGGCUUAACCCAAGAAGUGCCUUGGAAACGGUAAGACUGGAGUCCUGGAGAGGCUCGUGGAAUUCCCGGUGUAGCGGUGAAAUGCGUAGAGAUCGGGAGGAACACCAGAGGCGAAGGCGGCGGGCUGGACAGGGACUGACACUCAACUGCGAAAGCGUGGGGAGCAAACAGGAUUAGAUACCCUGGUAGUCCACGCUGUAAACGAUGGGUACUAGGUUUGGUGGGUCUUGACCCCUGCUGAACCGGAGCUAACGCGCUAAGUACCCCGCCUGGGAAGUACGGUCGCAAGACUAAA
rnacentral:rRNA from 1 species